UUAAGCCAUUAAAAGUGCUAGAUGGUUUUAGACUAGUUGAAGGAUGGUAGGCCUACUCCUUUAUGUGGGUUGGUUUACCACAUAAACUGAAUAUAUUCACUUUUAAAUCACUUAAGAUAAAAAUUAAAGUGUCUGAUAAAUGUCCAUAUUACUCUACAACGGCCUCUCUCCUGUGAUUAGGGGUACAUCGGGUCCCAGUGAACAAUGCAGGAUCUAAUAGUUGGGAUAGUUGGGAUAGGUAAUAGUUGGGUUAGGUAAUAGUUGGGUUAGGUAAUAGUUGGGUUAGGUAAUAGUUGGGAUAGGUAAUAGUUGGGUUAGGUAAUAUUUAGGUAAUAGUUGGGUUAGGUAAUAUUUAGGUAAUAGUUGGGUUAGGUAAUAUUUAGGUAAUAGUUGGGAUAGGUAAUAUUUAGGUAAUAGUUGGGAUAGGUAAUAGUUGGGAUAGGUAAUAUUUAGGUAAUAGUUGGGAUAGGUAAUAUUUAGGUAAUAGUUGGGUUAGGUAAUAGUUGGGUUAGGUAAUAGUUGGGUUAGGUAAUAUUUAGGUAAUAGUUGGGAUAGGUAAUAUUUAGGUAAUAGUUGGGUUAGGUAAUAGUUGGGUUAGGUAAUAGUUGGGUUAGGUAAUAUUUAGGUAAUAGUUGGGAUAGGUAAUAUUUAGGUAAUAGUUGGGAUAGGUAAUAGUUGGGUUAGGUAAUAGUUGGGUUAGGUAAUAUUUAGGUAAUAGUUGGGUUAGGUAAUAUUUAGGUAAUAGUUGGGUUAGGUAAUAGUUGGGAUAGGUAAUAGUUGGGUUAGGUAAUAGUUGGGUUAGGUAAUAGUUGGGAUAGGUAAUAGUUGGGAUAGGUAAUAGUUGGGUUAGGUAAUAGUUGGGUUAGGUAAUAGUUGGGAUAGGUAAUAUUUAGGUAAUAGUUGGGUUAGGUAAUAUUUAGGUAAUAGUUGGGUUAGGUAAUAGUUGGGAUAGGUAAUAGUUGGGUUAGGUAAUAUUUAGGUAAUAGUUGGGUUAGGUAAUAUUUAGGUAAUAGUUGGGAUAGGUAAUAGUUGGGUUAGGUAAUAGUUGGGAUAGGUAAUAGUUGGGUUAGGUAAUACUUGGGUUAGGUAAUAUUUAGGUAAUAGUUGGGUUAGGUAAUAUUUAGGUAAUAGUUGGGUUAGGUAAUAGUUGGGAUAGGUAAUAGUUGGGUUAGGUAAUAGUUGGGAUAGGUAAUAGUUGGGUUAGGUAAUAUUUAGGUAAUAGUUGGGUUAGGUAAUAUUUAGGUAAUAGUUGGGUUAGGUAAUAGUUGGGAUAGGUAAUAGUUGGGUUAGGUAAUAGUUGGGAUAGGUAAUAGUUGGGAUAGGUAAUAGUUGGGUUAGGUAAUAGUUGGGUUAGGUAAUAUUUAGGUAAUAGUUGGGAUAGGUAAUAGUUGGGAUAGGUAAUAGUUGGGUUAGGUAAUAUUUAGGUAAUAGUUGGG